UACGUAGGUGACGAGCGUUAUCCGGCAUUAUGGGGCGUAAAGCGCACGCCAGCGGUCUGUCAAGUCUGACGUGAAAUCUCUUGGCUUAACUGGGAGCGGUCGUUGGAAACUGAUAGGCUUGAGGCGAUGAGAGGGGUGCAGAAUUCCUGGUGUAGUGGUGGAAUGCGUAGAGAUCAGGAGGAAUACCUGUGGCGAAAGCGGCACCCUGGCGUCGUUCUGACGCUCAUGUGCGAAAGCGUGGGGAGCGAACGGG
rnacentral:rRNA from 1 species